rnacentral:lncRNA from 1 species
GGGUAGUUUUAAUUGGUGAUUAGAUGAGGUCGACUCCAUCUUGAGAUUCAGGGGAAGAGAUAGUAAGGGGAGAAGGGUCGGUCUGUAAUUUCCUGUAAAACAAAUCCGUAAGUGUAGCAUUUUUCGUACAUAAAUACGUGUAGUUGAAAGAACUAGACUAGUUUUCUUCAAGUAUAAAUAUUUAGGUAUAAAAAAAAAAUACAGCACAAGAUGAAUCCUGAAUUCCUUCCUGAUGUUUUUUUGGUGUGUGCAUGCAGGAACGGGGUUGGGACGUGGCCGUUGAUCUGCUCUCCACCUUUGGUGCUUCGAGAGCACUUGGUCCGCUCCCGAUGCAUGC